rnacentral:rRNA from 1 species
CUACGGGUGGCUGCAGUGGGGAAUAUUGGACAAUGGGGGAAACCCUGAUCCAGCAAUGCCGCGUGUGUGAAGAAGGCCUGCGGGUUGUAAAGCACUUUCGGUUGGGAGGACUGCUUCUAGCACUAAUAUUGUUGGAAGUUGACGUUACCUUCAGAAGAAGCACCGGCUAACUCCGUGCCAGCAGCCGCGGUAAUACGGAGGGUGCAGGCGUUAAUCGGAAUUACUGGGCGUAAAGCGCGCGUAGGCGGCUAGAUCAGUCGGGUGUGAAAGCCCCGGGCUUAACCUGGGAACUGCAUCCGAUACUGUCUAGCUUGAGUACAGGAGAGGGGAGUAGAAUGCCAGGUGUAGCGGUGAAAUGCGUAGAUAUGUGGAGGAACACCGAUGGCGAAGGCAGCUCUCUGGCCUGAUACUGACGCUAAGGCGUGAAAGCGUGGGGAGCAAACAGGAUUAGAUACCCCCGUAGUC